GGUAAAACACUGGUUCCCGUACGAUCACCAAAAUUAAGCAAUGUCGAGUUUGGUCAUUACCUAGAUAGGUGACCUCUUGGGAACCCCAGUUGUUGUAAU